rnacentral:lncRNA from 1 species
UUUUAUUUUUAUUAUUUUUAUUUUUUGUUAAUUUUUUUUAAUAUAUAACAAUAACUUGAAUGUAAACUAAACACAAUCCUUAUGCGUCAGUCAAUCUCCGAAUGCCCGUUGAAUAAGCUCUGGAGAUUACUCCGUGAGGAGUCCCAAUAGAGGUAUGAUAACCUCGGGGGAUUGCACCCUAUCAAUUACUAGCAAAAAUAAUAAUUUUUUUUUUAUAUUUUUUUGAUUUAAUUAAAAGAUUUUUUUCUUUUUAAACUUCAAAUUUCGAAUCUCAGAAUUCAAAUUUUGAAUUUAAAAAUUUUUUGAAUUUUUGAAUUUUUUUUGAAUUUUAAUUUUUUUUUGAAUUUUAAAUUUCGAAUUUCAAAUUUCAGAAUUUAAUAACUACGAAAUUAUUAACUAGAAAUUAUCAAAAUAAGAAAAAUUAAUAAAAAAAAAAUAAAAACUUACUACCG